UACGGGGGGGGUAAGCGUUGUUCGGAAUUACUGGGCGUAAAGGGCGCGUAGGCGGCUCGGCACGUCCGUUGUGAAAUCGCCCGGCUCAACUGGGCGGGGUCAGCGGAUACGGUCGAGCUUGAGCAAGCUAGGGGGCAAUGGAAUUCCCGGUGUAGUGGUGGAAUGCGUAGAUAUCGGGAGGAACACCAGUGGCGAAGGCGGUUGCCUGGAGCUUUGCUGACGCUGAGGCGCGAAAGCGUGGGGAGCGAUCCGG
rnacentral:rRNA from 1 species